CGGCCGCUGACGGCCGUGUCGUUGCAGGCGCUGAGGGAGCGGGGCUGCGGCGGCGAGGAGCAGAUGGCGGCCGUACUGCGGGAGAUUGAAGCAGAAGUGCAGAGAAGAAAACACCUGGUUCGUCAGUCAGCGGAGCGCAAAGCCAUCAUCGCUCAGUGUUACAAACGAAAGCACUCAGAAGUGUACACUCUUCAGGAUUCAUUUCUGGCCCCAGGUUUUCUAGAAAUCAUUAGAUACUGCACAUCACCAGAUGCUAAUCUCCAUGGCCUCCUGCGCUACACCGAGUCCUUCUCAGAUAAGCGGAUCUUUCGACUCCCAGUGUUCACAGAGGAGUUCUGUCAAGCCUUUAUUGAGGAGCUGGAGAACUUUGAGCAGUCAGACAUGCCUAAAGGCCGGCCCAACAGCAUGAAUAACUAUGGGGUUUUACUCAAUGAGCUGGGGAUGGAUGAAAAUUUCAUCACCCCCCUGCGUGAAAAAUAUCUGCGUCCCAUCACAGCCCUGCUUUAUCCUGACCUGGGGGGUGCCUGCCUGGACAGCCAUAAGGCAUUUGUUGUCAAAUACUCGCUGCACGAAGACCUGGAUCUGAGCUCUCAUUAUGACAAUGCAGAAGUCACCCUAAACGUUUCACUGGGAAAAGACUUCACAGAAGGCAAUUUGUACUUUGGGGAUUUCAGACAGGAUCCUUCCCCUGUGCCAAACUACAUAGAGGUGGAACACGUGGGAACCCAGGGGCUGUUGCACCGAGGAGGGCAGAUCCACGGGGCGCUUCCCAUCGCCUCGGGGGAACGCUGGAACCUCAUCAUUUGGAUGAGAUCAUCAGCCAUCCGCAACCAGCUGUGUCCCAUGUGCAACCAGAAACCCCAGCUGGUGGAGGCAGGGGGAUUUGGAGACGGGUUCACAGAAACCUGUGAAGAAGACGUGCCUGAGACCGUGGAUCUGUGCUCGGUGUGGUAGCAGGUGGGGCAUGCCUUCUGCAGAACAGAUUGCCUCCAGCUGCUUUCUGCCUUCUCGGACCGUGCUGACAGCCUCGGGAGGACGCUGAGUCAUUUAAGAGGGAGCUGUCACCGUGCAAGGUGACACCAAACCGGUCCUGCUGGGAAGCCAGCUGCUCCCACUGCUGCUGCGAGGGCUGGCGAGGGCACGCAGCCACAUCGGAGUGCUGGAGGAGCGCGGAGACAUGCAAAGCCCCAGCAGUCACUGCAAGGACUGCCGAUACGUUCAGAAGCUCGCAGGGACGCUUCGCAACCGCCGCGGGAGGAGGAAUGGCAGCCUGAGAGCCUCCGCCCGCAGCCCAGCGGCAGAAGCGCUGCGCUCUGGCUACCGCGCUCGGUGUCCCCGCGCCGUGAGUGGCUCCGCGAGCGCUUCGCUGUCGGUUCCGCCGAAACCCGGAACCACGGAGGGCGGCGCAGGGACCCGGGCGGCGCCUUGUGAGUGAGUGACCGGAAGUGAGCGGGGGAGACCGGAAGUGAGGUC